GACGAACGCUGGCGGCGUGCUUAACACAUGCAAGUCGAACGGAAAGGCCCUGCUUUUGUGGGGUGCUCGAGUGGCGAACGGGUGAGUAACACGUGAGUAACCUGCCCUUGACUUUGGGAUAACUUCAGGAAACUGGGGCUACUACCGGAUAGGAGCUCCUGCUGCAUGGUGGGGGUUGGAAAGUUUCGGCGGUUGGGGAUGGACUCGCGGCUUAUCAGCUUGUUGGUGGGGUAGUGGCUUACCAAGGCUUUGACGGGUAGCCGGCCUGGGAGGGUGACCGGGCACAUUGGGACUGAGAUACGGACCAGACUCCUACGGGAGGCAGCAGUGGGGAAUAUUGCACAAUGGGCGGAAGCCUGAUGCAGCAACGCCGCGUGCGGGAUGACGGCCUUCGGGUUGUAAACCGCUUUCGCCUGUGACGAAGCGUGAGUGACGGUAAUGGGUAAAGAAGCACCGGCUAACUACGUG
rnacentral:rRNA from 1 species